GAUGAAGAACGGAGCGAAAUGCGAUACGUAAUGUGAAUUGCAGAAUUCAGUGAAUCAUCGAGUCUUUGAACGCACAUUGUGCCCCCUGGUAUUCCGGGGGGCAUGCCUGUCCGAGCGUCAUUGCUGCCCUCAAGCACGGCUUGUGUGUUGGGCCUCCGUCCUCCUCCCGGGGGACGGGCCCGAAAGGCAGCGGCGGCACCGCGUCCGGUCCUCGAGCGUAUGGGGCUUCGUCACCCGCUCUUGUAGGCCCGGCCGGCGCUUGCCGACACAUCAAUCUUUUUUCCAGGUUGACCUCGGAUCAGGCAGGGAUACCCGCUGAACUUAAGCAUAUCAAUAAGCGGAGGA
rnacentral:misc_RNA from 1 species